GUCAAGAGGACCCCAUCAGGUCCUCUUGUGGAGCUAGAGGAGGUGCAGCAGCUCUGUCGGAUGGGAAACAGCAGUAAGGGAGUACUCUUCAGUGUGUGUGUGUGUGUGUGUGUGUGUGUGUGUGUGUGAGUGUGUGUGUGAUGUGGGCAGAAGCAUGUGGUAUGGUGCAAGUGGUGGUGACUGGCCUCAUCUAGUGAUCCCCUCCCCCUGCCAUCGGUCUCCCCCUCAUUCUUCCACAUAAUGUUAAUCAGCCUCCAGUAUCAGUGGAUGGGACACUUUAGGCUUACCUAAUGACGGAGAGCUCACCCACUGUGGUCAGGCAGAGCUGUGUCUUGGUCUGCAGGAUUCAAAGAAGAAAAUCUGCACAGAAAAAUGCCACAAACGUUGACAGGAAAAGUGAAAGUCGGCCAGAUGACUGAUACAGCCAUCAGCAAUGCUAACAGUAUCAUCAUCAUAUUCAUUAUGAUGCUCUACAAUAUGCUCAAAAAGCUCCUUCAAUGCAUCUUUCUUCUCAGCCACUGUGCGGCAAUCUGGAAGUAAAAUUCCACCUUCUUGGUGUGACUCAUGGGAGUCGCCUCUGACACAUUUCAUCCAGCAGUCGUGGCGCCUUUGAGGACCUGGAGAAGAAUGCAACUAGUCCAGCGUGAGAGGAAUAUUUUACAUUCUCUUAUUAUUCUCUUAUUUUUAAUCCUUGGCUUCUGUUCAAAUGGUGUUCUAGCAAAUGAUAUAGCUAAUAAAUCCACCACAGCAUCCACCAGUUGUUCUCCUUCAGACA